GGCGAACGCUGGCGGCGUGCCUAAUACAUGCAAGUCGAGCGGAUGGAAGGAAGCUUGCUUCCUAAAGUCAGCGGCGGACGGGUGAGUAACACGUGGGCAACCUGCCCCUAAGAUCGGGAUAACUUCGGGAAACCGGAGCUAAUACCGGAUAUGAUUAUGUCUCACAUGAGACAUAAUGGAAAGACGGUUUCGGCUGUCACUUAGGGAUGGGCCCGCGGCGCAUUAGCUAGUUGGUGAGGUAACGGCUCACCAAGGCGACGAUGCGUAGCCGACCUGAGAGGGUGAUCGGCCACACUGGGACUGAGACACGGCCCAGACUCCUACGGGAGGCAGCAGUAGGGAAUCUUCCGCAAUGGACGAAAGUCUGACGGAGCAACGCCGCGUGAGUGAAGAAGGUUUUCGGAUCGUAAAACUCUGUUGUUAGGGAAGAACAAGUACCAUAGUAACUGAUGGUACCUUGACGGUACCUAACCAGAAAGCCACGGCUAACUACGUGCCAGCAGCCGCCGUAA
rnacentral:rRNA from 1 species